rnacentral:miRNA from 1 species
UGGGUUGGCCAAAAAGUUCGUUCAGGUUUUUCUAUACGCUCUUACAGAAAAACCCGAACAUACUUUUUGGCGAACCCA